rnacentral:lncRNA from 1 species
CAACAGCAGAGCCUGCCAUUCUCCUGGAACAGACGGGAGGAUUUGCAGUUGGGGCCACGCUUAGACUGUUACUGGAUCUGCUGCUGAAACCUCACCUCAGCAGUGCCUGCUGCAUCCUCACAAGGAAAUACUCGAUUCUCCAAAAGUGAACUGAUCCAACUGACACAAAAAGAAGUUAUUACCAGGUAAAGGACUCUUCCAGGAAAGGAUCAUGCUCUUUCAUGAAUUUCUGGACAAAAUACUGAACUGAAUCUGUACAGCCUAUUCUUAGAGCCGUCACACUCUACUUCCUCCAGCAAGUAUUUCCUUUCACUUUUUGUUCUUUUCUUUUUCAUAAAAGCAGAUGAUCCAUACGCAGUACUAUUG